CCUACGGGAGGCUGCAGUGAGGAAUAUUGGUCAAUGGGCGGGAGCCUGAACCAGCCAAGUCGCGUGAGGGAAGACGGUCCUACGGAUUGUAAACCUCUUUUGUCGGGGAGCAACGGGGUCCUUGCGAGGGCCCGAUGAGAGUACCCGGAGAAAAAGCAUCGGCUAACCCCGUGCCAGCAGCCGCGGUAAUACGGAGGAUGCGAGCGUUAUCCGGAUUUAUUGGGUUUAAAGGGAGCGUAGGCCGGCUUUUAAGUCAGCUGUGAAAGUCCGGGGCUCAACCGUGGAAUUGCAGUUGAAACUGGAGGCCUUGAGUGCACACAGGGAUGCCGGAAUUCAUGGUGUAGCGGUGAAAUGCUUAGAUAUCAUGAAGAACUCCGAUCGCGAAGGCAAGUGUCCGGGGUGCAACUGACGCUGAGGCUCGAAAGUGCGGGUAUCAAACAGGAUUAGAUACACGAGUAGUC
rnacentral:rRNA from 1 species